rnacentral:lncRNA from 1 species
UUCAGUUUCGAGCUCGAACCUUCUCCUUAGCUUCAAUAGGUUCCACUCGAACCAUUUCUAAGCUCUAAAACCCCCAAACCCUAGAAACACCAUUAAAGGGUUGAAAGCUUAUCUCUCUUCAAGACUUCAAGCUUGAGGGAGAGAGAAGAAGACAAUCUUCUUCUUCUUUUUAGUCUUUUCCUUCCUUUUUCUCUUCUUCUCCUUCUUCUUCUUCCACUCCUUCUUCUCCUUCUUUUCUUUCCUAGAGAGAGAGAGGGAAAGAGUGUGAAAGGGAGAGAGAGCAAAUGAGAGGGAGAGAGGGUCCCCUAGCCUCUCUUAUAAGCCAUUAUGCAAAUAAACCCCUCAACUUUACAUCCAUUACACAGCCACUCACUAGGCCAUUUUCGCAGUGAGAGACCGAUCCCAGCUCAGGGAGACCGGUCCCCGAAGGCCUCCCAUCUGGGCCGAGGGGUUUUCGCGUUCGGGAACCGGUCCCUGCUCGAGAGACCGGUCCUCGGGAGACUGGUCCUUGUUCGAGAGACCGGUUCUCGAGAGCUGGAUUCUCGGGACUUAGCCAAAUUUCGGCUUGUCUCGCGGGGUUAACGUUCGGGAACCGGUCCCUGCCUGCCCGGGACCGGUCUCAUCAGAGACCCCCACAGUCUAGCCCGAUGGAACCGGUCCCUCCCUGCCAGGGACUGAUCCCCGAGAGCAUUUCUGCUCCAGUGCAGCUUUUGCACUGGCGCUCUCGUGGACCUUUUUUUAGUGCACUUUAUGCAUUAUAAUCAACUUCAGACUUUUCGAAGCUUACACACUCAACAAUCAGUCGAUUCCCAACGAAGUCUAAUCCCCGGAUUUCGAGAAUUCACUUCCCUUACAUUCUCCACACCUUAAAAGAGUUUCGUCCUCGAAACGAACUCGUCGAUACUAAGUUCAUUCAGAACUUAAACUUUAAAUUCAUACCUCAGCUCAAUCAUCAAAUAAGUGAGGAUGAUUCGCUUUCAUCUCCUCCUCGAGCUCUCAGGUGGCUUCAUGAUCGCUAUGAUUGCUCCACCAGACUUGAAUAUAAGGAAUUUCGCGACUUCUUAACUUACGCACCUCUCGAGCUAGGAUCUCCACCGGAAACUCCUCGUAGCUCAUAUCUUCUUUCAAUUCUGGCGGCUCGUAGACCAAGACGUGCUCAGGAUCAUGUACAUACUUGCGGAGAUUGGAGACGUGGAAUACAUUGUGCACACCCGCAAGCUUGGAUGGUAAUGCAAGUCGGUAGGCCACCGUCCCAAUCCGCUCUAAGAUCUCGUAGGGGCCAAUAUAACGAGGACUCAAACUUCCCUCGUAUCCCAAACCUUUUUACACCUCUCAUUGGCGAAACUUUCAAGAAUACGCGGUCACCUACCGCGAACUCCAGAUCUCUACGACGCCUAUCUGAAUAGCUUUUCUAUCGAGAUUGCGCCGUGAGUAACCUCUUGCGAGCAAGGUGGACUUUCUUCUCCGCCUCUCGCAAUAUGUCGGGACCGAAUUCUACUCGCUCGCCUACAUCACUCCAAUGAAUGGGAGAUCGGCACUUCCGCCCAUAAAGAGCCUCGAACGGUGCCAUCCCCACACUCGCGUGAUAGCUGUUGUUGUAGGCGAACUCGGCCAUCGGCAGGUGCUUACACCAAUUCCCCUUGUAAUUAAUGGCACACGCCCGCAACAUAUCCACCAGGGUCUGAAUGGUUCUCUCUGUCUGCCCAUCAGUCUGAGGAUGAAAGGCGGUACUGAACUCGAGUCGCGUGCCAAGGGCUUCUUGUAGGCUUCUCCAAAAGUGUGAAGUGAACUUGGAGUCUCGAUCUGAUACAAUCGACUUCGGCACCCCAUGUAGCCUCACCACCUCGUCGAGGUAUACCUGUGCGAGCUUCUCACCUGCCCAAGUGUUGUGGAUCGGCAGAAAGUGCGCCGAUUUCGUCAAACGAUCCACAAUCACCCAAAUCGCGUCGUGGCCACCCGUCGAACGAGGUAAGCCGACGACAAAAUCCAUCGAUAUGUCCUCCCAUUUCCAGACGGGAAUAGAUAAACUCUGAAGCUUCCCCGCUGGAAAUCGACGCCUCUGCCUUCACCUGUUGGCACACCAAACACUUCGCUACGAAGCGCCCAAUAUCAGUCUUCAUUCCCGGCCGCCAGUAUAGUGUCUUCAACUCGUGAAACAUCUUGGUGCCGCCCGGGUGAUCUACAUAAGGAGACCAAUGCGCUUCCUGCAAAAUCAGCUUGCGAAGCUCCUCGUCAUUUGGCACACACCACCGGUUUCAAAAUCGUAGUGCACCACUACUAUCUACGCUGAAAUCUCCGCCACGGCCACUUUCAACAUUGUGCCGCACCUUCAGGAGAUUCGGGUCCGCCGACUGCAAAUCCUUGAUCCUCUCCAAUAAGGUCGGUUGGACCACCAACGUCAUCAACCUAGCCGGAAUUUUCGGAGCCACCACCUCGAGAUCCAUCUUCCCCAUUUGCAACUGUAGGGGCGUCUGGCUUGUAACCCACAAAGCGAGGUUCUCCGCCGACUUCCGACUAAGUGCAUCAGCGACCAUGUUCGCUUUUCCGGGGUGGUAAAGGAUAUCAACAUCGUAGUCCUUAGGCAAUUCCAACCACCGCCGUUGCCGCAUGUUCAGCUCCUUCUGGGUAAACAAGUAUUUCAAACUCUUAUGGUCGGUGUAGAUCUCGCAAUGAGUACCAUACAGAUAGUGUCUCCAAAGCUUCAAAGCAAAGAUCACCGCCGCCAAUUCCAAAUCAUGUAUGGGGUAGUUCUUCUCGUAGCUUUUCAACUGACGGGAUGCAUAAGCAAUCACCCUCCCGCCUUGCAUCAGCACACACCCCAGACCUAGAUAGGAUGCGUCGCUAUACACUACGAAAUCCUCACCCUGCACCGGUAAGGCGAGUACCGGAGUUGAAGUUAAUCUUUCCUUCAGCUCCUUGAAACUCCGGUCACAAUCGUCGCUCCAAACAAAUCUAGUGCCCUUCUGCGUCAGACGGGUGAGUGGAGUUACGAUCUUCGAGAAACCCUCCACAAACCGUCGGUAAUAACCCGCUAGGCCCACAAAACUUCGGACCUCAGCAACAUUCGUCGGGCGCGGCGAAUUCUCAAUGGCCUCUACUUUCCUCGGGUCUACAGAAACACCGCCCUCGGAAAUAACAUGCCCGAGAAAAGCAACUUUCCGGAGCCAGAAGUCACACUUUUUCAGCUUUGCGUACAACUUCUUCUCCCGAAGGAUUUGAAGUACAGUGCGCAAAUGCUCCGCAUGCUCCUCCUCGUUGUGCGAAUAGACCAAGAUGUCGUCUAUAAAGACUACGACAAAUCGGUCUAAGCACUCCCUAAACACUCGGUUCAUUAAGCUCAUGAACGCAGUCGGGGCAUUCGUAAGCCCAAACGGCAUCACAGUGAACUCGUAGUGUCCAUACCGCGUACGCAAGGCGGUCUUCGGAACAUCCUCCGGCUUAAUCUUUAAUUGAUGGUAGCCGGAUUGAAGGUCAAUCUUUGAGUACACUCGCGACCCCUGUAACUGAUCAAACAGGUCGUCAAUGCGGGGUAACGGGUACUUGUUCUUCACGGUGACCUUAUUCAACUCGCGGUAAUUCACGCGGAGUCGAAAAGAUCCAUCCUUCUUGCGCACAAACAAUAUUGGGCUCCCCACAGAGACACGCUCGGCCUAAUGAACUGCUUGUCGAGAAGAUCCUGCAACUGAUCCCUCAACUCUCUUAGCUCAGCCGGCGCCAUGCGAUACGGGGCCUUUGAUAUCGGCGCUGUCCCGGAAAGCAAGUCGAUCAUGAACUCAAUUUCCCGGUCUGGCGGCAUCCCCGGUAACUCUGUCGGAAACACGUCUGGGAAUUCUCGCACAACCUCCAACUCUUCUAGAGCCGGCACCACUCGGUCGACUUCCAUAACGGUCGCCAAGUAAGCCGUACAACCGCUAUUAACCAGCUUCCUCGCUCUCGUCGCUGACACCGUCGCGGCGAAGCACAAACUUUUGCAAGCUCGAUACGUAAACUCCUCGUGUCCCGGAUCCCGAAAUGUGAUCACUCUAGUCUUACAGUCGAUAGACACAUAAUACUUCGAGAGCUAGUCCAUGUCCAAUAUGACAUCAAACUCCUUUAACCUCUUUAGCACCAACAGGUCGACCAGCAUAAUCCAGUUACCUACUUGUACUGGGCACGCCAAACACCGCUUCCUAACGAGGAACGCUUGUCCGGGUCCCUCUACACGCCAAACACUCUCCCCGAGACUAAUCUCAAUGUCAUGCACUUGUGCAAAUGAUCGGUUAAUAAACGAAUGAGAGGCGCCAGUAUCGAAAAGAGCUCUUGCUCGAACACCAUUAACCAACACCAUACCUGCCACUACAUUGCGCUCCUCGGCUUCAGGGGGCUCCUCCACUUGUACCUGAGCGGCAUACAUCUUUCCGCUCGGAGCCGAUCGUGCGGGUUCAGGUUGACGUGGUGCCGCCGCACGUCCAGCCGACGCCGCAGCAGGUGGCAUAGCAUAACGAGCCGGAAUAGCCGGGGCCGAUGCAACGGAUGGAGCAGGUAAAGCCCCUCCUUGAGGGCAGUCGCGUGCGAUAUGCCCUGCUUGGCCGCACCUAAAGCAUUUUCCUCGGCGCUGCUCACACAUGCAUGGUCGGUGGUCACCGCCGCAAAAGAUACACCGCUGUGCUCCACGGCCCUUCGGUUGUGAUCGUGGAUACUUCGGGGGCCUCCUAGAACUCGAUUGUCCCCCCGAACCACCGCCCGGUCGCUUCUUUCCUUUAUCCUUCUCGAACGCCUCACGGUCCUCACGCUCGCAGGCGUUCCCGUGCUCGACCCAUAAGGCACGGUCCAAAGCUUCCGCGAAAGUAUGAAACUUGACGACAUGUACCGUCCGAAACACGCCGGGUCGGAGUCCUCUCACGAAGCAAUCUGCUCGAUCCUGCUCCGUCGUCGCCACGUCCGAGACGCAAUUCAAAAGAUGUGUGAACUCCUGCUCAUACUCCCGAACCGUGCGGUUGCCUUGCUUAAGCUUCCUAAAGUCUUCCCGCAUCUUUCUUUUGUCGCUGUCGGAAAAGUACUCCGCGAACAUCAAUCUUCGGAACUCCUCCCAAUCGAUCGGGGGAAGAUCCGGAGAUCGAUCCUGCUUUACUCUCUUCCACCACACCCUGGCCCGCUUAUUAAAGCAAUGAGCGACCAAAUUAAUCUUGUCCCGCUCCUCUGUAUAGAUGUCCUCGAACAGGGUCUCCAUCGAGGCCAACCAUGUCUCCACCGUCCAAGGGUCUAUCACUUCUCCGUCGAACGUGGGCGGGUGAAACUUCGUAAACCGUGUGAGAGCCGUGUAGCCACGCUUUCGUUCCGCCUCCUCAGCUACUGUCCUGGGUGUAGGAGACCUCGACGCCGCAGGAGGAAUAUCCACUGGUGGGGGUUGCGCCGCCACCGGAAUCGGCGCAUCGCCCACACCCUCGGCCGCAUUGAGGGCCGAACCGAAGGCGCAGGCGGCUCAUAGCCUUGGCCAACUGCCGCAGCCGCCGCUUGACGCUCCAUAAGCUCCUGGAGCCGAUCGAACCGCCCUGCUAACGCAGCAACUUGUGCCCGCAAUUCUUGCACCUCACUGGGCCCAGCUGGCUCUGGCGCCGCUGGGGGCACAGCUGUCUCGGGCACCCCUGGGGGUGGUGCCGGAGCAGUCUUACGCACGUAGCGUCUCUUCGGUGCCAUUAGCCCCUGAAACGCAAACAAUCGGUUAAUUACUUAACCCAACAACGUCUUCGCAAUUACAAAACGAUACAACUCAACUACAUCAAUCCGACGGAAGGUUAUAAGUGCACCCGUUCUUGACUCUCGGCAUUGCGUUGUCGGCCGCCAACACAACCACCUUAAGCCAAGGACUAGUGUCACCUAACUCAUCUCUAGAAACCACUAGAGUGUCAACACUGACUUCGACCCAAUCAAUCGACUUCCGUCGCGUCAUAGGUUCACGUCGCACUCGCGCACCUAUAAUCCUUAGGGUUUCCAUCCUAGAGUCUCCUAGGUUAGUCCUAGACUCUCUCUUUUGCUUGCUCACAACUCUCGCUCUGAUACCACAACUGUCACGUCCCGCCCCGAGGCCGAUACCAGUUUGGUCCGGUUCGGGCGCGGCGAACGGACCGCCGAACGGACAGCAUCUCUUCUGUCCGCCCAAGGCUCGAACAACCAGAUUGUGUACAACAAGUUUCCAGGAAACAACUUGAAUACAUACACAAUCAAACAUCAACCACGAGAGCACAAACAGUGCUUAUCAACUAAGAGCAAGCAACACAUGUAAAGCAUACAAGUGAUAAAAGAGAGAUGUACUUAACUAUUAAUUCAUUUAACUUUAUACAAUUGUUUCAUCCUUUAUAAUCUUCCAAAACUGUACAAUGAAUAUACAAUCCUCUCAAAAUCUCACCCUAUACAUCCAACUACUCUCAAAAUAGUACAGGGUACAACUAAUGCAUAAAAGGGAAGUAAACCUCUAUUAAUGUCACUAGGGCGCUACGCCCUUGCCGCGAUCCUCACCAGGGGCGCUCGAACUCGGACCUGCAACAUGGUGGAGUGAGAACUACGAAUAGUUCCCAGUGGGUUCGGCCGCCGACUCCGCCGAUCUCCCCACUAGGUCUAAGCAGGCACAGAUAGAUAUGCAGAUAGAUAGAUAUGUAAUACUGAAAACAUUAACAGUAAUGAGCAACUAUGAACUAUGAUCUAUCAAUGCCUCAAUCCAGUACGAUGCAUACUUGUGACUUAUAGUGAGAAGGCUGGCUAUCAUACUACCAUGCUCAAUAAGGAAAUCACUCAAUCCAUUACCCAAUCUCUCGGCGAACACAAGGUUCGCUCACAGUCUCACAUCUCUAAGUCUCAUAGGGGAGGUGGCUAGCUAUUCACCUACCCCGAGACCGCCUGCGGACACUACACUGGUCCAAGGGCACUACACUGGCCCCCUCGCGUGCCAAACUCCGGAGUGCACUACCUGUGAGGAGCUACCUCCACAGGUGCAGACAGGCUAAGUGAGCUCGAUCCAAUCUCAUAACUGGGAACACCCUAACCAACUGGAAUUGGCGUCACUAUAACAUCCGGUGUUCAUCUGCUCAAUCUCAUAGCGUCUCAAGUUCAAUACCAACUAGGUGCCACUCGUUCUGGGUUCACUAUUUACUAGAUGCCACUCGUUCUCUUGACAAGUUCUUGAUACGCUAGUUUCCAAUACACUAGGUUCUUAUUCACCUAGACAUAUUCAUCACAUAUAAGGCAAACUAUCUUAUAACAUUCUACUCAUGCAUACUAGGUUUUCAUUUAUUAUAUCCACAACUCGAACUAUCACUAGCAUGCAAAGAUAUGUACAAUCACAUUUAACACCCUAUAAUGCUAUAUCACAAUAUGUAACUGAUCGACAUUAGUACUCAGACAUAGAAAGCAGUUCGACUGCUUCGGGAUGGCACUCCCCCACCUCGUGGCGAUGCCGUGAGUCUUCAAAUGCGAUGUGCCGAUGUUUCGACGCCUCAUUGGCCUUCUAAGUGAGAACGAAGCUCCGAAGGUCUUCUUUGGCGAUAACUUCGCACCUACUCGACGAAUCGACGAACCGUCUUCGCCGACGCGUUCAGAGACCUAGUAAUUAGGUUUGCGACCCAUUAAAUUAGAUCAAAACCCUAGAUUUGCCAAAAUCCCAAAUCGAAGCCCUAGGUCUCAAUAAUGGAGAAAUCCAUGGUGCGAGCUUCAGUUUCGAGCUCGAACCUUCUCCCUAGCUUUAAUAGGUUCCACUCGAACCAUUUCUAAGCUCUAAAACCCCAAAACCGUAGAAACACCAUUAAAGGAUUUAAAGCUUACCUCUCUUCAAGACUUCAAGCUUGAGGGAGAGAGAAGAAGACAAUCUUCUUCUUCUUUUUAGUCUUUUCCUUCCUCUUUCUCUUCUUCUCCUUCUUCUUCUUCCACUCCUUCUUCUUCUCCUUCUUUUCUUUCCUAGA